GAACCACGUUAAUUUCUAAUUACCUGUACCCGAAACCGACACAGGUAGGAAGGUAGAGAAUACUAAGGGGCGCGAGAUAACUCUUUCUAAGGAACUCGGCAAAAUUACCCCGUAACUUUGGGAGAAGGGGUGCCACCGCAAGGUGGUCGCAGUGAAGAGGCCCAGGCGACUGUUUACCAAAAACACAGGUCUUCGCCAAGUCGCAAGACGCAGUAUGGGGGCUGACGCCUGCCCAGUGCCGGAAGGUUAAGGAAGUUGGUUAGUUUCGACGAAGCUAGCGACCGAAGCCCCGGUGAACGGCGGCCGUAACUAUAACGGUCCUAAGGUAGCGAAAUUCCUUGUCGGGUAAGUUCCGACCCGCACGAAAGGCGUAACGAUCUGGGCACUGUCUCGGAGAGAGGCCCGGCGAAAUAGGAUUGUCUGUGAAGAUACGGACUACCUGCACCUGGACAGAAAGACCCUAUGAAGCUUUACUGUAGCUUGGAAUUGGGUUCGGGCUUCCCUUGCGCAGCAUAGGUGGGAGGCGUUGAAGUUUUCCUCGUGGGGAAAAUGGAGCCAACGGUGAGAUACCACUCUAGGGAGGCUAGAAUUCUAACUUUAACCCGUUAGCCUGGGAAAGGACAGUUUCAGGUGGGCAGUUUGACUGGGGCGGUCGCCUCCUAAAAGGUAACGAAGGCGCGCAAAGGUUCCCUCAGGCUGGUUGGAAAUCAGCCGUAGAGUGCAAAGGCAGAAGGGAGCUUGACUGCGAGACUUACAAGUCAAGCAGGGUGGAAACACGGCCUUAGUGAUCCGACGGCACCGAGUGGAAGGGCCGUCGCUCAACGGAUAAAAGUUACUCUAGGAUAACAGGCUGAUCUCCCCCAAGAGUUCACAUCGACGGGGAGGUUUGGCACCUCGAUGUCGGCUCAUCGCAACCUGGGGCUGUAGUAGGUCCCAAGGGUUGGGCUGUUCGCCCAUUAAAGCGGUACGUGAGCUGGGUUCAGAACGUCAUGAGACAGUUCGGUCCAUAUCCGGUGUAGGCGCAAGAGCAUUGAGAGGAGCCUUCCUUAGUACGAGAGGACCGGGAAGGACGCACCGCUGGUGUACCUGUUAUCGUGCCAACGGUAAACGCAGGGUAGCCAAGUGCGGAGUGGAUAACCGCUGAAAGCAUCUAAGUGGGAAGCCCACCUCAAGAUGAGUGCUCUCACAGGGAUAACCUGGUAAGGUCACGGGAAGACCACCCGUUAAUAGGCACUAGGUGGAAGUCCAGUAAUGGAUGGAGCCAAGGUGUACUAACAGACCGAGGGCUUG
rnacentral:rRNA from 1 species